rnacentral:lncRNA from 1 species
UCAGAUAAAAAAAUAAAGGGGUUGAAUACUGGAUAAUUAAAAGGUGAAGUAUAUUGGAUGUUUAUCGGAAGUGGACUUAAGGAUAUCAUAGAAAUAAUCUGCUUGUUAUUUUGCAUAUAUAUUUUAAACGCCUAUCUUACUUUACUCAUUUAUUGAAUUUAUUUUUAUUAUUCAUUUGAUAAUUUUCUUGAGAUUUCCCCGGCAGCAAAACGAACAAACGUGGUAAAAUAAUCUGAUUAAUGACAAUAUGCCUGGGCGAACAAUCGAUAAAAUAUUUCUGGAAUACAUUUGAAUGUCCCAUAACACACCAGUUAUUUUUACUCUUGCAAGGUCUUCUAGAUCACUUUGUGUUUCAAAUACUAGAUUUAUAUAGACAUACAUUCUAUUGCAGUACAUACGUACUGUAAUUGAUCGAAUUAGAUAUUUACAUGAAGUGUCGAAUAAAUUUUUUAAAGAC